UUUGACCUCAAAUCAGACAGGAUUACCCGCUGAACUUAAGCAUAUCAAUAAGCGGAGGAAAAG
rnacentral:rRNA from 1 species